rnacentral:rRNA from 1 species
AAAAGAGAGUUAAAAAGUACGUGAAAUUGUUGAAAGGGAAGCGUUUAUGACCAGACUUGGGCUUGGUUAAUCAUCCAGGGUUCUCCCUGGUGCACUUUUCCAGUCCAGGCCAGCAUCAGUUUGCUUCGGGGGAUAAAGGCUUCGGGAAUGUGGCUCUCUCCGGGGAGUGUUAUAGCCCGUUGCGUAAUACCCUGGGGCGGACUGAGGUACGCGCUUCUGCAAGGAUGCUGGCGUAAUGG